ensembl:lncRNA
UGCUGAUGAGUAGGCCAGCUUGUGAGAACUUAUUUUUAGGGCUAUUGUUAUGAUUUCAGCCUUUGGGCUGAAGAUUCCCAGGUGGUAUGAGUUGAUCUAGUUGCAUGAUCUUCUCCGUGAUUGUGAAUGCUCCAUUAGCUGAUUAUUCUCUCUCCAGCCCACAUCCUUCUAAGCAUCUGGUGCUGGUGAAGCAAGAUUCUUCCAGGCUUAAUGUGUGAUUUGCAUCCACUGUUAGCCUUACACAUCAGCUUCUCUAUGCCAGAAAAAUGUCUUGAUGCCCAAGCCUCCAAAGAGCCACCAGCCUUAUGAUAUCCAUAGUGUUCUAUAGCUGGUGAGAACAACCACUGUUUACAACUGUAGAAAAGGAAUACAUACUUAUUUUCAGACCUACCUCCGUUAAAUGAGCUCUGUGAAUACUUGUUAUUUCACCUCUGCCAUUUUCAUGAUGAAAAGAAUUAGCAAUUGCAAGGAACAUAUCUGGGAAUCAGAUAGACCUGCCCUGACAACGUGGUACUCAUUUGUUUCCAAUCCAGUGGCAAAUUAUUCUCUUUUUAAGAAGAGAGGAGGAGGAGGAGGAUCAUUUCUCUCAGAGGGAGAAGAAAAAAAAAAAAAAAAAAAGAAGAAUUAAUAAAUAUUUCACAGAAGGUGAACCCAGAGGUCCUGAAGCAAAUCCUGAACAAAUUACAGGGAAGCAGAAACAGCUGGAGAGAGAAUACCAUUGCAGUAAGCACACUGCCUUGACCCAGCCUGCCAGCGCCCUUCAGCUCCCAGCUUUACUGUUUCUAAACACCUUAGCAAAAAAUAGGCAGAAUAUCUCUCAUUUAUUCAAGAAAAAAAAGAAGGGGAUCCAUCCAAGUUCCUUUGUGAGACAAUCUGAAGAGGACCUUGGGGUUUCUAUGUUAGGCAACUCUGUGUGCUCUGAAAAGCCCUGCAAAGGCAGCUUGCAAAAAAAGAAGCGUAGGAGGGAGCUGGGAAGGCAGUGUGGCCUCAUAGGAAAUGAAGGCAAUAAUGCACAGCUCGUGAAUACGGGAACACCGCUGAUGUGGGAAAAGCACACAUUUCUUAUCAGCUACACCACUACUCACUACUGUACAAGGACAAGUAUACGGAGACUUUGUCUUUGAUCCCCCUCCCCCCCCAUUUUAGCUUUGUUAUUUGUUAUUAUUAUUGAUAUUAUCUUAUUAAUUAUUAUUACUAUUUCAAAUGAAUCAUGUAGGCCAGAAAAGUCAGAUUGGCCACCAUUUUGGUGGGGGAAGGAGAGACAUUUUUCUGAGGGGUCUCCAAAGGGAUGUACCCAUGCAGGUGCUGUGCUGGCGAAAUAUCUCACCAUAACAUUUGAGUGGCUCAGAGCUGCACAUUACUCCUUUACUUUCUUCUCCAUGGCCAACCUCCAAGGUUUUUUAUCCAUCUUUUAUAUGUUGCCUAUGUAAUCUUUGGAAGGAUGUGCUACAUUUGCUCAUAUAAGAUCAGCAUGACUGAACACUGGCUUGGAUGGAGCUCAGAUCCUACCAAAACCUAAAUGUUAGGUAAUGACUUUUGCUGUAUAUAGAACAUAGAAUAUAGGUCAAAUGAAAGAAGAAGUGACAGAAAGAGGGGAAGGCUGCAAUAAUGGAAAUAUCUUUAAUGCCACAAGCUACUCAAUAACUGAAAUCCGGAACAGCAUGAGUUCUGGGUUUUUUGUUUUGUUUUGUUUUUAAAAACAGGUUUAAGUAUUCAUCUGUUAUUCUUGAGAACUUCAG